rnacentral:lncRNA from 1 species
AUUAAAUAGAGGAAAAUUAUUCAAAUAAUUAAUAUAGCUUAUAACACACUUAAACUAACAGAAGAAAAACUUUGACCAAAUAAAAGGUUAAGAAGAAGAAGUGAUGAAUAAGACAAGGUUACAAAUAAAUUUUUAAGCAGAUAACAAUAACAGAAAAUAGAUCAAAGGAACGAAAUAAUCUUGAAAGAAAAAUCUAAAAACUGAAUGAGCCCAUGUUGAACUCGGAUUUGAACUCUUUGAGGUUGGACGGACUGUUUGUGGGUGUUGUUGCUCGUUCUUGGAGUUUCGCCACUGCUCGCCGGGUUGACGACGGACAGCAGCUGGAGGAGGACGAAGACGACGACGCUGGACAGCUUGUACGUCGCCGUCGCUGGUGUCGGCGUCUGGUGAUGCUGGUCGUCGAGUCCAGCUGGUCGUGGCUGGUCUGUUCGACGUGCCUGAAGGGUGACGGGCUGGUGUCUNNNN